rnacentral:RNase_P_RNA from 1 species
AGAGCAGGCGAAGGUGAUCGCUCGCCAUUGAAUAAUGGCGGGGGGAAAGUCCGGGCUUCAGAGGAUAGCGUAGCGGUUAAGUACCGCCGUCCCGGUUUUUCCGGGGCAGGAAUAGAGCCACAGUGACGAUACUUCGACUCGUUGUGCCUUCGGCACAACUCGCUCAGUAUAAAUUUCUCAAAAGGAAGUUUACCCUGAGUGAGCGCAAAGCGCGCAUCGAAGGGUGAAACGCGGCAAUCUCUACGUGAAGCAAGGUCGAAUAGUCUCGGCGUCCGUAAGGAUCAGGGUGAUCCGCCCGAAUAACUUUUAAAAGUAGCGUCGAGAGGGUAGGCUGCUAGAGCUCCGACGGUAACGUCGGAGUCGAGAGAAAUGAUCAUCGAUAUGGAUACGCAGUAUCGCCUUUUUAAAAAACUCGAUAUCUGUGUAAUCUAUGGGAACAGAACUCGGCUUAUCGCCUGCUCUCAAA